rnacentral:lncRNA from 10 species
GAUAUUACUACUUUAGCACUGAUUGGGUCUCAGUUAUUUGUGUGUUAUCAUGCAUGUAUUUAAUUGAGCAGCUACUACAUGCAAGGAGCUGUGAGAAAUGAACAUGAGGCCAAGAUAUUGACCUUGCCCUCAAGGAAUUUACAGUCUUGUCAGAGAGAUAAUCCAUACCCACAAACACCGUAAAAAGUAGACAGAAUUAAGAAGUAUGAGAGCUACACAGAGAACAUGACGGGAAUUCAAAGAAAGUACUACUCCUUUCUUUCAGUGAAGGGUCCAGAGUGGCUCUGAGGUUCAUUUUGAACAUGACGGGAAUUCAAAGAAAGUACUACACCUUUCUUGCAGUGAAGGGUCCAGAGUGGCUCUGAGGUUCAUUUUGUACAUGAAGAGAUGAGAAAGGACAAUCUAAGUGGAAGAUACAGGAGAAACACGGAAACAAACAAAAG